rnacentral:rRNA from 1 species
UACGAAGGGGGCUAGCGUUGCUCGGAAUCACUGGGCGUAAAGCGCACGUAGGCGGCUUUCUAAGUCAGGGGUGAAAUCCUGGAGCUCAACUCCAGAACUGCCUUUGAUACUGGGAAGCUCGAGUCCGGAAGAGGUGAGUGGAACUGCGAGUGUAGAGGUGAAAUGCGUAGAUAUCUGCAGGAACACCCGUGGCGAAAGCGGCGCGCUGGACCACUACUGACGCUGAGGAACGAAAGCUAGGGGAGCAAACAGG